UAGGGAAUCUUCCGCAAUGGACGCAAGUCUGACGGAGCAACGCCGCGUGAGUGAAGAAGGAUUUCGGUUCGUAAAACUCUGUUGUUAGAGAAGAACAGCGCAUAGAGUAACUGUUAUGCGUGUGACGGUAUCUAACCAUAAAGCCACGGCUAACUACGUGCCAGCAGCCGCGGUAAUACGUAGGUGGCAAGCGUUGUCCGGAUUUAUUGGGCGUAAAGCGAGCGCAGGCGGUCAAUUAAGUCUGAUGUGAAAGCCCCCGGCUCAACCGGGGAGGGUCAUUGGAAACUGGUUGACUUGAGUGCAGAAGAGGAGAGUGGAAUUCCAUGUGUAACGGUGAAAUGCGUAGAUAUAUGGAGGAACACCAGUGGCGAAGGCGACUCUCUGGUCUGUAACUGACGCUGAGGCUCGAAAGCGUGGGUAGCAAACAGG
rnacentral:rRNA from 1 species